rnacentral:rRNA from 1 species
GAUGAACGCUGGCGGCGUGCCUAAUACAUGCAAGUCGAGCGAACGGACGAGAAGCUUGCUUCUCUGAUGUUAGCGGCGGACGGGUGAGUAACACGUGGAUAACCUACCUAUAAGACUGGGAUAACUUCGGGAAACCGGAGCUAAUACCGGAUAAUAUUUUGAACCGCAUGGUUCAAAAGUAAAAGACGGUCUUGCUGUCACUUAUAGAUGGAUCCGCGCUGCAUUAGCUAGUUGGUAAGGUAACGGCUUACCAAGGCAACGAUGCAUAGCCGACCUGAGAGGGUGAUCGGCCACACUGGAACUGAGACACGGUCCAGACUCCUACGGGAGGGAGCAGUAGGGAAUCUUCCGCAAUGGGCGAAAGCCUGACGGAGCAACGCCGCGUGAGUGAUGAAGGUCUUCGGAUCGUAAAACUCUGUUAUUAGGGAAGAACAUAUGUGUAAGUAACUAUGCACAUCUUGACGGUACCUAAUCAGAAAGCCACGGCUAACUACGUG